rfam:Microgenomates (Curtissbacteria) bacterium GW2011_GWA1_40_24 TT92_C0020, whole genome shotgun sequence.
GUAGUGUAGUUGGCCCAACACGUCACCCUGUCACGGUGAAGAUCGCCGGUUCGAAUCCGGUC